rnacentral:rRNA from 1 species
GCAAAGGUAGCAUAAUAAUUUGCCUCUUAAUUAGAGGCUGGAAUGAACGGACUUUCUUUGUCUAUCUGUCUCAAUCUCUAGAAUAAAAAUUUUUAUUCAAGUGAAGAAACUUGAAUUUUAUAGUAGGACCAUAAGACCCUAUAGAGCUUUAUAGGACACCUUGUCCAACAAAGGAAACCUGUUUCAUUGGGGCGAUGUGAGAACUGUGCUUCUCUUAAAUCUCUUAGUUUCAACUUAUUUCUCUAUGCCUUAUAGGAUAAAGAAAAAGCUACCUUAGGGAUAACAGUCUAAUUUUCCUCGAUAGCCCACAUCUACAGGAAAGAUUGGCAC